UUACGACCAUAUUAGGUUGAAACACCGGUUCUCAUCUGAUCACUGAAGUUAAGCAAUGUUGAAGCAGGUCACUGCCUAAAUGGGUGACUGUUUGGGAAUACCAAGUGCUGUG